rnacentral:lncRNA from 1 species
AUCAAACCUGCCUCCAACAGGUAUAUGGAGUUCACCGGAGCACGGUCAUUCUGAUCAUGGGAGGUGGAUUUAGUCAUGAUAUAAGCCGAAUGCACAAUAACCCAAUUAAGAAUAUGAGACAGGUACGAGGUCAAGCGAAGAUUCUUUCUCUUCCUGAUUAUAUUAGAUUUGAUAGUAAUCUUGAUUUUGUUGGAGAUUUUCAUGGAUCAUCCCUGUCCAAUUAGACCCAAAGAAACCUGUUAAUCUGUUAUGAAUUCAUCUCGACAUGGACAUAAGUUCAAUUCAACUUAUUACAACUACUGCAUUCCAUGGGGGAAUCAUUUGACUCAUGAGCAGCAACAUCCGCUGUCAAAGCAUUUGCAUUAGCCAAUUGUUCACCUGAUGAUUCUCAUGCUGGGAUCAGAAGAGCCGUAUUCAGCUGAGUCAAAGAAAGCAGUAUCUGCAGCUAGGCGAAGCUUGCUGACUUUGCUCUUGUUGAUCAAAAACGUGCUCAGAGUUAAAAUUUCAGGAUGAAGCAAUUCAUUAUAUUCCUGUGACACCCAUUAUUUCUUCUAUUACUUGUUAGUUUUAAAUUUGAAAAUAUGAUGGAAAAAUAAGUUGUUUUAUGUCAUCUCAAUGGACUUUUUGACAUAAAACUUUUAUCAAAUACAACACAUGUCAACUAAUGAAAAGUUUGAGGGUAAAAAUGACAUGAAAAAUCGUUAAGGACAUAAAUAAUGAAAAAAGGUUAAUAAUCUUAAAUUCAAUUAAAAUGUUGUGCAAGAAAUAAAAAUUGUGGUCCUAUAAUUAACCUAGCAAUUAUUCAGUUCCUUAAAUUUGAUAGAAGC